UACGGAGGGAGCUAGCGUUGUUCGGAAUUACUGGGCGUAAAGCGCACGUAGGCGGCUAUUCAAGUCAGAGGUGAAAGCCCGGGGCUCAACCCCGGAACUGCCUCUGAAACUAGGUAGCUAGAAUCUUGGAGAGGUCAGUGGAAUUCCGAGUGUAGAGGUGAAAUUCGUAGAUAUUCGGAAGAACACCAGUGGCGAAGGCGACUGACUGGACAAGUAUUGACGCUGAGGUGCGAAAGCGUGGGGAGCAAACAGG
rnacentral:rRNA from 1 species